rnacentral:rRNA from 1 species
UCACCAGUCGAGCGGUAACAGGAAAGUAGCUUGCUACUUUGCUGACGAGCGGCGGACGGGUGAGUAAUGCCUGGGAAUUUGCCCAUUCGAGGGGGAUAACAGUUGGAAACGACUGCUAAUACCGCAUACGCCCUACGGGGGAAAGGAGGGGACCUUCGGGCCUUCCGCGAAUGGAUAAGCCCAGGUGGGAUUAGCUAGUAGGUGAGGUAAUGGCUCACCUAGGCGACGAUCCCUAGCUGUUCUGAGAGGAUGAUCAGCCACACUGGGACUGAGACACGGCCCAGACUCCUACGGGAGGCAGCAGUGGGGAAUAUUGCACAAUGGGCGAAAGCCUGAUGCAGCCAUGCCGCGUGUGUGAAGAAGGCCUUCGGGUUGUAAAGCACUUUCAGCGAGGAGGAAAGGUUACUGGCUAAUAUCCAGUAGCUGUGACGUUACUCGCAGAAGAAGCACCGGCUAACUCCGUGCCAGCAGCCCGCGGUAAUACGGAGGGUGCGAGCGUUAAUCGGAAUUACUGGGCGUAAAGCGUGCGCAGGCGGUUUGUUAAGCGAGAUGUGAAAGCCCCGGGCUCAACCUGGGAACUGCAUUUUGAACUGGCAAACUAGAGUCUUGUAGAGGGGGGUAGAAUUCCAGGUGUAGCGGUGAAAUGCCUAGAGAUCUGGAGGAAUACCCGUGGCGAAGGCCGCCCCC